GAUGAACGCUGGCGGCGUGCUUAACACAUGCAAGUCGAACGGGAUCCAUCAAGCUUGCUUGGUGGUGAGAGUGGCGAACGGGUGAGUAAUGCGUGACCGACCUGCCCCAUACAUCGGAAUAGCUCCUGGAAACGGGUGGUAAUGCCGGAUGUUCCAGUUGAUCGCAUGGUCUUCUGGGAAAGCUUUCGCGGUAUGGGAUGGGGUCGCGUCCUAUCAGCUUGACGGCGGGGUAACGGCCCACCGUGGCUUCGACGGGUAGCCGGCCUGAGAGGGCGACCGGCCACAUUGGGACUGAGAUACGGCCCAGACUCCUACGGGAGGCAGCAGUGGGGAAUAUUGCACAAUGGGCGCAAGCCUGAUGCAGCGACGCCGCGUGAGGGAUGGAGGCCUUCGGGUUGUAAACCUCUUUUAUCGGGGAGCAAGUGUGAGUGAGUUUACCCGUUGAAUAAGCACCGGCUAACUACGUGCCAGCAGCCGCGGUAA
rnacentral:rRNA from 1 species